AGAUGUGAUGUCUGCAACAACAAUGUAAGUAUUUAUCUGGCAGGGUAAUAUUAUAUUAAUCCUUUCUUUUCAUUUAGUGUUGCACUUUGAUAUGUAAUAAAUGGCAUGAGAAAAAGGUAAGCUACUGUCAACCAUCGACUGCAAUCUCACCAAACUAACUUCUUAAACGGUUAAACUAUAAUAAAUGGCUUUAUUCAGAAGAACACUUACCACUUUGUUUGUUUUGAGGGAAGUGGAUAGAAAAGAAAAGAAAUAUCAUU
rnacentral:misc_RNA from 1 species